rnacentral:tRNA from 1 species
GGAAUAGUGGUGUAGUGGUAACAUAAUCGCCUUCCAAUCUGUUGAUUGCGAGCGAUUGCUGUGGGUUCGAUUCCCGCCUAUUUCA